UUUUUUUUUUUUUUGUCGACACAGGGAUGUCCGGGUCAAUCCUUACGGGGCCUGACUAAUCCCCUGCGGUCUGGGCCCGGCGCCCCAACCCGGCCCGAACACGUUAAGUGCGCGGAGGAAUCCAGCGUAGCGGAGACUCGAACUUGUGACCUCAAGGGUCACUGGUGAGAGGCGCUGCCGCUGGACCAUUCACGUGGAACUUAUGCCACCUUGUUUGAUGUCUGCGAAAUUAAAAAAAAGGACAGUAAUUUAAAAACGUGGCAUGCGAGACUUGAGUGUUGAUUUUCCAAAAAAUAAUCAAAUUAAAUAUAAAAAAUAAUUUAAUUAAUGGGUAUAUAUGCCGUCUCACGGGUUAAUUUUUGCAAAGUGAAGUGAAUUUAUAAAAAAUGUAUAAAUGUAUAGGAUACAAAAUUGUGAUUUUGUACAUUCACGAAGUAAAUUAAGUGUCAUUUAAGUAAUAUUAAAAAAUCCAAUAAAAAAAGGUGAUGUCUUUUUAGUGUUUAUCUUGCUUAAAUGUUGAGGCACCAUUUGGAUUGAAGGAAAGGGACGGAAUGGAAAGGGAAGGACUCUAGUUGAGUAAAAGAAAGGGGAGCAGAGGAAAUUUUAAAAGUCCAUCUGUCUUGUUUGAAUUACGGAAGGAAAGGAGGAAAGAAAAUUAUCACAUAUUAAUUAUAUAUUUAUUCACAAUCAAAAGUUUAAUUUAUAAAUACAUAAACGGUUUUUUAGGAAAUUUAAAAUUUUUCAUUAAUUUUGGUGUCAUUUCUUUCCGUUUCCACUCACUUUUGGAUGAAAAAGUAAAUUGACAAAAGAUAACUAAACUUUAUCAUUUCCUUUACCUUCCAAUUCCUUCCUUUUCCUUCUCAAAAACCAAUCCAAACAUCAAAAGUCAAAACCCUUAUCCCUUCAUUUUAUUUCCUUUCCUUUUCCUCCCAUUCCCUCAAAACAAACGAUGCUCUAAGUAAAUGUAUAGCGGAUACACUCGAUGACAAACCAAUCAGAAAUUUAAGCUAGUGACGAAAACAAAUAAAACUUGGUCAGAUAGUUAUUAGCCCAUGAUUUAUGUGGUGACUCUAAAAAAGGGGGGGGGGGGGGAAUUCCCAAAAUUAUCUAUGUUUGGAUAGGAUAUUAUUUGAAAUAAAUUUUUUUUAAAAAUACUGUAACACUUUUUUUACGUGAUGUAUUUGAGAUAAAAAGAGAGUUAAAAAAAAUAAAAAAGUAAUUGAAAAAUACGUAAUAUUUAAAUUUUAAAUUUACAUUUAGAUUAAUUAUCAUAUAUCAAAGUCUCGUGUAUGUAGUGUCAGCAUAUGAAAAAUUUAUCCAUUUAUUUAUGUGCUUCAACUUGAGCUUUUGGGACGCAUAUUAGAAAAACCUUUCUAUCAACAUAGACAGUGAACUGUUCACGAGAAACAGAAAAUCUACUACAUCAAUCUUUCUUACUCCGAAGCAUAAUUGGAAAUGAAGCCAAAAUCAAAAGGCUGAAAAUCAUUUGGAUUCCCAAAUAAGCUUUAGCAAAGCGCUCAAUAAUUACACGUUUUUUAUUGCCUUUGCGAAAAGAAGCUUGAUUCGAAAGCUGGUAAACACUAAGAUAAAUUAACUAGCGAAUUAGGCGUAUGUCGGGGAUUAAUUGAAAGCAUUCUUGAAUCUUGAGCAUAAAGUAGUUUGUCAGUCCUCCUAGUUUGGAUUUUUUUUUUUUUGGAAGCUUCUUAGAGUUAAAAUAAGAGUAAAUCUUAUAUACACUAACAGUGUAUACACUAUCACUAUUUGAUUCAUGACAUGUGUGUAAAAGUUAAAUUUCAAAUUCAAAAUUUGCAUAAUUAUCGUUCAUCCAACGCUGAUAGUGUAUGCAUUGUGGAUGUAAGAAAGAUUAAUCCUUAAAAUAAUUGGUGACGUUUCCGAAAACCACAGGUUCUUUUGCAAAUUAAACUUGACAAUUACUUAUUGUCCACUUCUUUUAAUAAAUUGAGCACUAGAAUGCAUAGUCUAGAAGUGGACAUUUUAGCUAUGUACAUGCAUAUAUACAUGCAUAAUGCCCUUGCAAACUCCAAAUUUAUCCACAGAACACUGGUUUUUGAGGUUAAUUGAGUAAAAAAUAAACCGAUAAAUGUUUGUGUACACCCUCGGGUACGAAAAAAAUGUGUGGUUUCAAAGGAAGAGGCCCCUAUUAUUGAGCUUUAACCUAUAUAUUUUCAUGAAACCGCUUUUGAUAUCAACCCAAUAUUAUUAUAACGUGAUCAGUAUCAUACUUUCUCCAAAUAAAGGAAAAGAAAUAUCUUAUCCAUCUUCUUAUUUUCUAGACUAGAAGAGCAGUAGGAGUUUGUCAGUUUAUCUCAUGAAGUAUCCAAUAUACAUCUCAUAGCAUGGUGUGACCCCUCAACAAACUUCUACGGUUUCAGUGUGAAGGAACCAGUGCUUGUUGGUGCAAAGUGCAAACACGAAUAUAUCAAUCACUAUUUCAAGUGUGAAGAAGUACUAAUGCAACCACCUGCAUGACUGCAUCAUCAUCAUCAUUCACCUGUUGAUGGUAUGAUAAGGUCAUUAUCCUUAUGUGCUGGACAUGUUCAAGCACCUAAUUCUGCAAAUCUGGUAAUCAUGCUUCUUUGUCACUCCAUUUUUACUUGAUCAUGAUCAAUCAACAGUAAGGAUUUUAAGGAAAAAGGUACAAGAGUAGACACCACAUGUCAUUCUUGUCAAGUAGCCAAGGAACGAAAGGUGUUAGAAUACGUUGGUACAUUUGGUGGCUCAAUAAUUGGUUCAAAUCAUGCAAUUAAGACGGUUUUUCUCUUUGCAACUUUCACGGGAUUAGCUGUUGGCGUGUUGAUCAAUACACUUUCAUUGGGGUAAGACAAUGGAAUGGGAUUCCCCUACAGAUUCCGAGAGAAAAGCACCUAACCCAAUUUCUAAAUUCUUCUAUACUUGAUAAGAUCACUGCCACUAGAUCUUUCCUUUAUUUCCUCACUGUAUUCGGGCAUCGUCAUGUAAAAAUUGACAUUUGCCCUAGAGGCACAAAACUAGCUGGGAGGAAUAAUUUAAUGCAUGCAGCUUCCUCCACACAAAAAGCUGAAAACUUUUCCUCUGGGUCAGACCUUUCCUUCCAUCUGGCUUAUUCCUUUAUUCCCUUUAAAAAAAAAAAGAAAAAAGAACUUCAUAGCGUCCUCUUUGCAACAAGCUCAGGAGAACUAAGUAGGAAUUGGUUUAGCAAGUUUAACGUUAAUUCUUCUGAUUUCUUCUUCUUCUUUUUUUUUAAUAAAUUCUUCACAGGUAAAUUAGGUCUUGGUUGCGAAAAAGAUGGGUAUCUUGCAUCUGUAAAUGUCACAAAAUGGGUGAAGAGAUGGAUUUGAUGAUUCACAGGCAGAGAAGUGAAAAUGUGAAGUCGCGAAAUCGAAUCCUCUCACUUACACUUUAAAAAAUGACAUGAAAAAGAGUAAAAGUUGGGAAUUGCUUAUGAUGUGAUUCGAUAUUAAUCAAUGGAGCAAUGCAAAUUGGAAAAACCUACUUGUUGCUGAAUUACUAAUAUAUCGGGUUGGACGUAAUGAUUAACAAUGUUUGGUUAAUUAUAGAGAUAAUAAAUGUAGAGUUUACACACUUUAGACUAUAAAAUGUGUAUAUGUAUUUUUUUUUCACUUAGGCGUAUCCCAACCUUUCGAUCAGACUAACCCCUUAAGGUUGUGUAGAGUUUUGUUCCAGGGAUAUACAGUGAGGUAGCAUAAGAGAGUCGAUUACGGAACCUACUGGUAAUUACCAGGCUUCGGAUUACCCGCGCGGGCGUAAAGUGUGUAUAUGUAUGCAUAAUUCUUUUUUUUCUAAUGAUGCUAGUGCAUACAUUUUUUUUAUGCUAAUAGGUGUAAAUGCAAGUUACAUCCAAAAAAUCUAGAAUUUUUUUAAAAAAAUAACUUAUUAUGCAUUCAAAUCCAUUAGUAAAAAUGAAUGAAUAUAUAUAUAUAUAUUUAACUGAUUAGUUAAUGGAUUGUAGUUUUCUAACAAAAAUUUUUUAUAUUCAACGUAUUUUUUAAUAAUCUUUUUAUUUCAAAUACAUCAAAUUGUUAAAAUAUAUUUUUCUAUGAAAACUCCAAAAAUAGUAAUCCAAACAAACCAUGGCGAGUGAAAGGUCCCCAUUUUGCAUGCCGUUCUCACAAAUGCAGUUAAGGGGACAGAAUGAUAUUGCUAUAAACUUGAGAGAAAAGCGGCCAUAAAGCUUCGAGAAGCUAUUUCAUUGACCUUUAAUUUGCAACAAGAAGAACGGCAAAUAUAUGAUUUCUGAUUCCAUCCCCGCGGUCAUUUCGAUUAUAAGGUAUUUAAUACACCGCCUUCUUCUCUCAAAUUAGAAAAGAGAGCGGAUUCUUCUUCCACUAAAGUCCUCUAUUUGAAAAUACCACCUGAUAAAAUUGGAUCGAUCGGGUGUAUGGUGAAUAGAGUGGGAGAAUUUCACAAGGGAUAUGCAAACAAAUUGAAGUGGCAAAAAUGUCAUCUAGUGAUUGAUGACAAUAGAUGGCAAUUAGGGUAGUAUUUGUUUGUAAGAAAAAAGGUGAAAAAGUGAAGGAAAAUUUUUAUUUUUCCUUUAUAUAUAUAUAUGUUUAAGAGGAAGAUUAUAAAAUUUUGCUAUAUUCUUUUUUCACUUUGUGCAAAUUCUGCACGAUUUUUUUUUUUAUAAAAAAAGUUAGUUUCAUUUGUCAUUUACAAUAACAACUGCUAUCUACAAAAUUUUACUUAUUAAACAAACACACUCAAUAAAGUGAUUUUCUCUUUCCUUUAAUUUAUUUUGCUAUGUAAGUUUCCCAUUAAUCGAAUAAAGUCUAGGUGAUGGUGGCUAUGAUUAAAUUGGAUUUCUCUGCACCUCUAACAACAUGUUUCUCUUAUGUAAAAUUGGAAAAAAAAAAAUGGAAGAGAGAAAGACGUUUGAUGUCUGUUUUUUAAGGUUACAAAUGUUGGUUUAAAACAUAGUAUACCAAUUAACAAGAAUUUUUCAAAUUGAAAUUCAAUUGCUAUAUCCUUUUUUCCCUUGUUUUUUGAGAGAAUGGUUUUCCCCCUACAAAUAAUAUACUCGAAGGAUAAAGCUCCAUCCAUCUUGGCCCUCCCCUAAGCAAUGAGACUUGAGGCAUUUCUUGCGGACCAGUUGGACUUGAUCUCGUGCGGAUCACGGUGUUGGCAAAGUACCAUGAUAAAAAAAAAAAUGCACCGAACCUCAGUUCUGAAACAUUAAGACCUCAUAUCAUAUGCCAAUUUUUUUUUUUGAAAGAUGAUGAAAAUUGAAAUUGGGCCAUAAGGAUCGAACCAUUCUCCGGGGCGGCCCAAAGUUAUGUGGUUCACUUAAACUCUUAACUGCACCGCUCCGCAACAGUAAGUCGGACAUUGAAAAAUGUUGGCACAUGGAACCUAUACAUGCUGCCCUUUUGCGCCAACCUGCUGGGUUUUUUUUUUUUUUUUGGUAUAAUUCACAGAUAUUUACGUUCAUUUUAUGGUCUGUAAUUAAUCUUAUUCGAAUUACAUCGAGCCCCUUGUGGGAGAAACUUUUCUAACGUUAUCUUUUCCAUUCCUAUGAAUUUCGAAUUAAAUCUUAUGAUUUAGGGAUGCAAGCCCAACAUCCGUUGGUCUGGGAUCUCUAUUUCUGUGGAGCGAUCUAUCCUGAAAUUUGAGAAAGUUGGAGAAGAAAAGGGUUUUAAGCUAUGACUUUUCAAGUCGGAGAUAAAUUUUCUCUGAAAUCUUUGGAGAGUUGAUAUGGUCAAAUGGUCGCCAUAAUGAUUAUGUUCGUUCUCCAAUUACAACAAAUGUUUUGAAAACUGGACCGGAUCGGACGGUUCGACCGGUUGAUCCACGAACCGGCCAUGCAUCCGGUCCGGUUCAAUUAAAACCCACAUAAUCAAUUAAAUCGGUCAAAACUGGUCAAGAACCGGUGAAAAUCGAGAGGUUUAACCGAUUUUUAUUAAGUAUUUAUUUUUUAAAAUAAAUAUUUUAGUUUUAUUCAAAAUUUUUAAUAUUAAAAUGAAUAAAAAAUUAUUAAACCUUUGAACGGAGUCGAAUCGGUUGAACCGAUCGAACCGUGAACCAAAGGUUCUCCGAUUCACUCUCCGGUCCGGGUUUAAAAACAUUGAUUACAGCUCAUCCGGCUUGAACGCAGAGGAAAAAUCACCAAAUAUACAGUCACAAAAAGCUUAUAGAGAAUAGAUUUUUUUUUUGGACUUAUAGAGAAUAGAUUUUUUUUUUUUUCCAAACGAUAUAGAGAAUAGAUUGUUAGGGAGUAAGGAUUCUUGUUUCUCUGACAUUAACUUAAUUAAUCACUUGAAAGAAAAAAAAAAUUUUCAAUCACUUUUUUUUUUCAAUCACUUGAUAGUCUUGAUUUAUGAGACUAAGCUGUGGUGUUUCAAGUAAGAUAUUUUGAACUAAAACAAAACAUGCUUUUUAUUUCCCAUCUGAUAAUUUGUCUUUUCAACCGAUAUUAUUUCCCACCUUAUCUCUAAACUCUCACAGUUCCAAUUUAACGAGUGCCUUGUUAGCAUAUAAUUUUCAAUAUAUAGUGCACACAAUCAUAUUUGUUGGCAGUUAUAUUUAUACUCAUAAUUCAUUUUUGUUUUCGUCCCCAUUUUACUUCAUUUUCCAGAAAUUAACACUUAGUAACCACUUAACCAUUAUCGUAAGAACAGUCUUUAGACAAUUUUUUAAUAGUUUUACAUGAGAAUGGUGGCCUAUUUCGCUGCUGAUAACUGAAAUCAUCUAUAGUUGGUGAUAAAUCAACUAUUUUUCAGAUCUAUUAUUGUAUAUCUUUUAAAUUACAGAUCCGCAAUCUUUAGUGUACGUUUAAUCCGUUAUUAGGGCAGCAAUAUACAUGAAAUCGUGCUGAAAAAUUUUCAGCAAUCUGUUAACGAAAUUUACUUUUUAUUAAGAAAAAGGGUUACAAAAUAUGGAAUAAACUGUUUAAUAUUUAGAGUUAUCAUUCGAGAGGAUUUAAGAUUUUUUGUGAGCGGCUAAGAAAACGAAUAAAAAACUCAUUUUACGAGAAAAGGAAAAGGAACAUACAGUAAUACAUAUAGCGUAACCAUGAGCUGCAUUCCUCAUUUCCGGUCUUGCCACUUUAGUAAAGGCUGAUAAAUUGUUAACAUAAGAUUCGAUCAGCUGAAUCAGGUUGCUGAUAAUUUGGCCAAAAACUGGUGUUACAGAAGCUUAGAGCCUUACUUAAUUUUGUCCCACUUUUGUGACUUUUGUGGACUUUCAUGUUUAGCUAGGAUCAUACAUCAUCUAGGACCUCCGGGAUCUCCUUCAUUUUUAUGUAAUACUAACAUGCCUAGAAAGAAUUAUAACAUUGAAAAAGAUUGAAAAUUGUGCCACGUAAUUGAAGGCUACCUAUGAACCAACGUAAUUGUGCUGUUAGCUACCACCAAACACUUUAAACAUUUGUGGAGUGGGAGAUCAAGGAUUCAAACCUUACCUUCCAUCAAUGUACUACUAUAUGUGGUUUCUUCUCAAUCUAUACAAGUGCGUAGUGCAUCCAUUUGAUUCGAUAGUAAUUCCCCGUCAGUUUCUCUAGGCUCUGUUGGGCGUCUCCCCCGUAGUGUAGGUUAGAGUACGAGUAGACUAAACUAAAUGUUGCUGCCUGAUAAAAAUAAAAAUAAAAAUAAAAAACUGAAGGCUACCUAUGCAGUGGGCUAGAUCUUAAAUUUCAAGACAAAGGCUUGAUGAGCCUUCUGACCAUUAGCUCUCUACAGGCCAUCCUGUCCCCUUGGCAGCAUGGCUUCUUUAAUGGGGUUAUUAAUCUUUCUAUCUACCCCUUCUUUGCUAUCUCCGUAGAAGUCAUAUAAUAGUAGGAGUACUACUUUUUACUUAUAAAAUUACCGGAGUAUUAAUUAUUGCACUAUAUUCUAUAUGGAUCCUUAUCUUCCACUAAUCUUUGCAUUAUCUGGAUCAAAUUUCUGCUGGAUCUGAUUAAGUUGUUGUUAGUAUUCUAAUUUACAUUAUUAGUUCUUAGAUCUCAACUGGAUACGUUUAACAUUAAUAGAGUAAGCCAUUAGUUAGCUUUUUUCUCCACUGACACAUUUAUUAAUUUUCCCCAGGCAAGUUCUCCACUCUCCACCUCUACAUUUUCACAACUCCAUGUGCCUUUUUUGUUGUUUUCUUUUUCUUCUGUCAGAACUCUUGUUUGCCUUUGUUCCUGCAUGAUGUCAAUUUUGUGGCAUUCUGACACUCAUCAAUUUUGUAACUGUUGUUUAAAGAUGCAGAUGUAGAGCCCUGCAUUAUUGUUGUUUCCCACUUCCAUAUGUAGUAGUAUUUUUUUUGUUCAUUACUUUCUGGAAUAAAAUUUUUAGUUAUUUAGUUUAAUUUGUUGAUUCUACGGUUUGAUGAUCACUCUACAUGUCAUUUACUUCAUAUUUAAGGUAUUAUUUUCUGCUCAAACUACAUAGGAGUAAUAAUAAUAAAUCAAACCAAACACUUGUGUUUGAUAAAACUGAAGUCUGAAAAUGAAAGUCUGAAAUCUGAAGUCUGAAUCCAUUAAAUUAUUAAAUUGUUAAGUAUUAAAUCUAAUACAUUUGAGUGCAUAUCACAUUCAAUAAUAAUUGAAUAACUUAUCACUUAAUUUGGGAGCAAGUUUUGUCUAAAAAAUUCGGUACCAUUUAAUUAAUUCAGAUGUUCAAUUUUUAGUUAUCAAAUGGUCUGAACAUGUUAUGAUCUAAAUCUAUUAAAUUUAAGUGCUGAAUUGGAUUGUCAAACAGGGCCUUAAUUUGCAAAGCGAAGGAUAAUCUCGUUUGUUAUAUCCAAAUUGCAUCGAUGGAUUCCGUUCAAUUAAAAAUUACUCGGUUAAUUCAUAAUUGGUGAUAAUUCAUGACUGGAAUGAGGACUUAUCAACAAAGGCCUUCAAUAAUCACUCAAAACCAUGACUAACCAGUGGUGGUGAAUGGUAAAUGGUCAAGCUUAGACCCCAAAGUUUUAUCAUUUAUGGGCAAUCACAUUCUUCAAAAUGAAAAAAAAAAAUGAAGCUAUUGAUUAGAAAUAUAACAUCAAAAAUUGUAGCAUUCUAAAAUUGGUUUUGUCUGCUUUUAUCUGGAGAUUAUUGCAUAAAUGACUUUAAGAGACAACUAGGUUUUAGGAGAAAAAAAGAAAGUGAAGAAAAAGCAAUAGAGAAAAGAAAAAAAGAAAAAAUGUUAAUUAAAAAAGAAAGUCAAUAUCACAUGGGCAUGUGCGAUACUGUUACCUAACAUCAUACUAGUGAUUCAUACUUGGAAUAUUAAGCAGAGAAAACAUGAGCUACUCAUUAAACAAUUCCGACAACGAUUACGUUUAAUGAUGGAACACAGGAUUAAAAACAAAAUAACGUAAGAACUAGUUCAAUUAAAAAUCCACAAAAAAAAUGUAAAGAAACAAUAUAUUAUUUAUAGCUUAUAAUUCCAUUGGAUUCAGCAUCAUAGGAAUUCGAUGAAUUACAAGAGGAGACAUUAGAUUGCUAAAUAAUAAUGGCACACGAAGAAAUUCAUUUGACAGAACUCCAUCAUGUGAAAGCCGAAAGUUUGGCCCAAUAAUGAUGUGGACCAAGCUAUGGUGGGCAACAAUUCAUACUACGUUUUAACAGAUCAUCAGACCAAGCCUUAUUAUUACCCAAUUCUUUGACCGUCUGACAUCAAGAUGCAAGCCUAUGGUCACAAAGGAUUUAAAUGAGUGUAAGUUUUAAUUCUUCUUCACAAAAAAAAGUCAAAAAUUGUGGCAUAUCAUUUUAGAAACUAAAAAUGGGAACGAGGAGAAGGGUUGAAUUGGACGGUAAGAUGAAAAAGAUUAUAAAUAGAAGAUUCUAAAUUUAAUACCUUUCACUUGCGAAAAAAAAAACACGAGAACAAGUAGAGAAAAACUACCUUUAAUGAUAAGAGAGAACUAUAAGUGCACAAAAUCCGCGUAUAUUACUUUAACCAAGUGUCGAGCUUUAAUUGUACCAAAUUUUUGCCAAAUUCCUAGCAAGUAUGCAUGAUAAUUCAAUCUCUCAAGGACUUCAAUCGGCAAGAUGUGGAGAUGAAGUUUAUAUAAUAUGAACCACUAUGUAUGAUUUGGCAUCCUCGAAGUCCACAUUGGAAGUGAUGUUUUGUUAAUGACUUCAACUAUUAUAAAUAUCAUCAUUUCUCUAAGAGUAACUUUGGUUUUUUAAACAUGCUAUCACUACUACUUUCAAGAAAAAAAAAAAUUACUUUCAUUCAAAUUUAAGGUGAGCUAACUUAAUAAAUCAAACGGGCAUAUUAUGUUUUACCAUCAAUAACUAUACAUUGUUCAUUUACAUAUGCCAUAAGUGUCAUAAAAGAAAUAAAAUUUAAAACAAAAAAUUGGUAAAUUUCUCCACACUUAAGAACUGCAUAUGAGUACAAUUUUCAACAUUAUCUAUUUUUUUUCCCUUUCCUUUUUAUGUCUCAAUAGAGGCAUAUAGUCUAACCCCACCAAACCACGAAUUCGCAUGCAUACCACAUAUAUCACAAACAUACACGCACAAACAAGAUUUUCUACCCUAAUUUUGUGCGUGCAUAUUACAUGCAUAUGCAAACAUGUCACAAGUCAAAGUAAGUUAAUUUAAUUACCAAAUUUUAUAAUAAUCUGACAAUAAAAUAAAAUUUUCUAUUCUCAAGACUCAACUUGACAGGAAAGUUCUUGGUUCGACUCUUAAACCCUCCCCUUUCCCCUUUAUCUCUUAUAAUGUUUGGAGGGAAAAAAAGUAUAACCUUCCAAGAAAGUUUCUAAAAAACUCAAAUAUGGCUAGAUAAAUGUCAAUUAUCAUUACAUCGAGCCAAAAGUAUGUGUCUGAUGAGAUUUGAUGGAAGUAAUGCCUUAGUCCACAGUGAAAGAAAAAGAAAGAACAGAAAUUUCUCUUGACAAACCCAAACUUAUUUUAUUUGAUUCCAUCCAUACGAGAUUUUCUACAGCAAUUGUUUGUGUCCGACUGUCCGUGCAUAGCAAGUGCAUGUAAACCAGGCGCAUCCCACAAGUCAAAAUUCAUUAACUACCACAUUUUAUGGUUAUAUGACACUGAAAACGAAAAACUUUAACCCCAAAACACACAAAUUUGGCCAUGCUUGGAUUGCUUGUUUCCGUCGAAAAAUAUUAUCGUUUUCCGUGAUCACAUUUCCCUAUCGAAAAACUUUAGGUUGUGUUUGGAUUGCAUUUUCCGUCAUUUUUCAUGGAAAAAUUACUGUAGCAAUUUGAUAUAUGUGAGGAAAAAAGGUGAUAGGGAAAUGUGAUCACGGAAAACGAUAAUAUAUUUCUCCCAAUAUUAUUUGUUCAGAACAAAUUUUAUGGAGUAAUGCCUUGGUCCGUCAUGUAAAAGAAGAAAGAAUACGGGUUUCUAAUGAUAGACCAAAAUUUUUGUUCGAUUCCAUUUUUCACCCAAAUUAUGUUUGAGAGUAUAUAACAUUUGCAUACAAACUACUAUAUCCCACGAGUUGAAGUUAAUUAAUUACCAAAGUUUAUGGUUAUUUGAAAUUAAAACAAAAAAAAAUCCCAAAAACUGUUGAUUCCAAAUCAUCAAAAUAUGGCUAUAAGUAUAAUUUCUCUAGAUAAAAAAAAAAGUUAAAAAAAUCAGUUCUAUAGCAUUGCUCCAAAGUUAUGGGCCUGACUUCACACAAACAAGGAUUUUCGUGCCUAAUUAUGUAUGUGCGUGCAUGCCAUGCCACAAGUCAAUGCUAAUCAAUUACCAAAAUUUAUGUUCAUUUGUCGUUAAAAAUAAAAAUUCUCAAAAACAUUUUAUUCCAAAACAUCCAAAUAUCACUAGUUUAAUAUCUCGUUGUAAAAGUUGAAAGUAUUAAUUAUAAUGGCACUGCUCCAAAGUUUUUAGAUCAAAUUUGAUGGUAGUGAUACCAUGAUCUAUCAUAUGAAAAAAAGAAACAACAAACAUGUGAACAAAGUUUGCUCCAAAGUCAUAGUUUGCUCCAAAGUUAUGUGUGUGAUCAAAUUUGAUGGAAGUGAUGUCUUGAUUUAUAUGAGAAGGAGAAAGAACAAACAUUUUUGCAUGUUGGACGCAAAAAUUUUGUUUGAUUUCACAGGCACAAGAUUUUCAACCCUAAUUAUAUUUAUGCGUGCAUGCCACGUGGAUAUGAACCACACACAUUUCACAAGUUAAUUAAAAAAUAAGUUUUAUAUACAUUAACAUUGUAUACAUUAUUACCGUUAAAUUCAUGACAUAUGUGUGAAAAUUGAAUUUUGAAUUCAAAUUUUACAUAGUUGUGAUUUAUCCAACGCUGACAGUGUGUACACUAUUAGUAUAAGAAAGAUUAAUCUUUAAUUAAAUACUACCAAACUUUUACGAUUAUUUGACAUUAAAAACAAAAACUCCUACAAACUUUCAAUUCCAAAACAUCCAAAUAUGGCUAAAUUUAAUUUCUCUCAGCAAAAGUUAGAAGCACUAAAAAUUAAUCCAAAUUUAUGUGGCUAAUCAAAUUUGAUGGAAAUGAUGCAUUGAUCUAUCAUGUAUGAAGAUAAAAGAACAAGAAAAUGUUUCUUGUGCCUGAUUCGCAUAAUUUGUUUGUUUCCACACGCACAAAAAAAAAUUUCUGCCCCAAAUUAUGUGUCGCGUGCAUGCAGCGGGCAUGCAAACUACGCUCAUGCCACAAGUCCAAGUUAAUUAGUUGCCAAAUCGUAGUUUGGUUAUUUGAUGCUAAAACCAAGAGCCUUUAUUUCCAAACACAUUCAAAUAUGGUUAAGUUUAAUAUCUCUCCUUAAUAGUUAAAAGUAGAUGUGGCAAUAUGGAUAAAUGGUUCAUAAUUGGUUUUGACUUAAUGGAUGGUGGAUGAAAUUUAUCCAAUCCAUUUAAAUCCAUUUAAUAAAUGGAUCUAAAUGGAUGGAUCUAAAUGGAUUAAAUAAAAACCAAUUAUCCAUUUAUAAUCCAUUUAAAUAUUUUGGUUACUUUUUUUUUGUAUUACCAUUUCUUGUAAUAUGAAGAUACUUUUUUAUGUACUCGUAAAUUUUAGGUGUAGUUGGAUGAGAAAGAUGGCAAAAUACUUAGAUUUUUCAUUUAAGAAUUUAGGUAGUAUUUUGGUCUAAUUUAAGAACAAUUGGUCUAAUUUGGUUACCGUAAUUUAUAAAUAAAAUUUUCAAAUGUUAUUUAACCUAUAUCAUAAAUAUAAUUUUUAAUUUUUUUUAUCUCAUACACGUCAUGUCACAAAAAAUUUAUAAUAUUCUUUCAAAUACAACCAGUGAUUGGAAAAUUUUCUGGGUUUAAAUUAAAGAAACAGUGAGGGAACCCAGCUAGGAAUAGGAGGGAAGGUUAUGGUGAGGGAUCAAAAAGGGGGGGGGGGUGGGGGUUCCCAAAUUGAGUUCGUUGAUGCGGUCCGCCGCAUGAUUGGGGAGCAUGGAGGACUACACUGUCAUAUAUUUCUUGCUUGCAAGUUUUGAUCAUGAUUGGCUACUUUUAUUUGGUUUUUAAAUAAAUGGAUAUAUGUGGUUUUUGUGGAUAAUCCAUAUAAAUACAUUUAAUUUAAUGGUUUUACUUUGGUCAACCAUUUAAAACCAAUAUCAUAAAUGGAUAAUCCAAAUCCAUUUAAUUAUGGAUUAUAUGGAUGGAUAAAUGGAUCUCAAUCUAAAUUGCCACCUCUAGUUAAAAGCAUAAGCUCCCAAAAAAUUUUAAUUCGGAAACAUUCAAAUAUGGCUUAGGUUAAUAUCUCUUCUUAAAAGCGCUACAUUAUCGCAUUGCUCCAAAAUUAUGUGUUUGAUCAAAUUUUAUACAAUUGGAUUCCCGAAGAAGAAAGAUCAAAGGUUUCAAAUAAGGAUACGCAUAAUUAGGAUAGAAAAGUCUUGUGGUAUGCAAGGAUAUGGUAUAAUUAUUGUUUGGAAAGGGUUUUCUGCCAAAAAAAAAUCUCUACGUUGUCUUUGAAUACAUUUUUUCAUCACUUUUUUACGUUAUAUAUAUCAAAUCGUUACAAUAUAUUUUCUACACAAACUUAAAAAAAUUGUAAUCCAAACACAAUAAAUAGCAACCAAACAACCAUGAGGGGAAGCCUGUAGGUAUGCUUGACCAGUUGGGGAUGUAUUGUGUGAUUCAACAAUUAAUGUGAGAAUGAACUUGAGUACACACUGUACACUUCAUGAUUCCAAUAGGCAAGCUGUAAUUUACCGUCGAUAAAUUUUGAUGACGCCGCAAUUUCCACCAUAAUUUACUCCUCCCUUCCACUCCAUACCCCCAUCAAUCAAUCCAUGGUUCAAUUUCAAUAAUGUCACUUCUCCCUUUGUUGUCUCAAUAAAUACACUACAUUUUGACCCCAUCUUCGAAUUCAUUUGGGGACCAAACCCAAGCCACAAAUCACAGCUCCUCGUUCCUUUUUUUAACUCCACCUCACCCCUGUUUUUCUUCCUUCCAAUAAUCCUCUCAUUUCUCAACUCCAUAAGGUCCCAAAUAAACAAACUCUCCUAUCACUUUCUUUCUUCAAGUCUUUUUCUCCAUGACCUUCUUGCCGCCCUAACCAUUCAAAUAAUCCAAAUCAAAACCAAUAAGAAACGUCACCGGAAUUUCUCCUACUCACUCAAAGCUCAGAUGGGGUGCUGUGUUAGCACUACUAAUGACAAACCUUCAGCUCAAAAUCUUCCUCACAAUUCGAAACAAAACCGAACUCCACCACCGCCUUCCCACCCGUUGCUCGAGGAAGAAUCUGUUAAAGAAGUGCUCUCAGAAACUCCCUCGGUGCCCAAGAAGCCUACCAUCGUAAGAGCACGUCACGAGUACCAAGACCCCAAAAAGUUCAAAUCCUUAUUGCCAGCCACUGCUCCUAAUAUCCCAGAUGAAAAGUUCAAGAAACCCAUUAUGGUUUUGAAGCCGGAGGAGUUUUCUGAAGAGGCUUCUGAGAUCUGCAGCACUCUCAGUGAGAGUGUUUCAACGGCUACUUACUGCACGGAGAAGAAUGACGAUGAUGGGACUGACAACCGGCUCAGGUUUUUCCGGCAUCGGUCGCUGUCCGGGGAUUGCAGGAGGGAAAGGGUCGCCGGAAAGUCGCCGUCGAAGAGGCCCGAACCAUCUCCGGGUCGGGUAGGAUCCGGAUCCGGCAGAGAUGCCCGCGGGCGAGUGGCUAACAAUGGGCAGAGGAGAGAUUGUGGAGAGAGCUCUGGCCGGAGGUCUAGGUCUCCGGCGACGCGUUCGGAAGGUGGUGGCGCGAAGACGGGCCUGGUAAGAAAUGGGUCCGCCAGGAAGGGCGGGAAGUCUCCGGGUCGGGUCAAGUCGGAAGUGGGUGAUAAGAUCCGGAAGGUGGAGGAUGCUCAUAAUGGCAACUUUGGCUAUAGUAACAGAGAGAGCAGAGAAAACAAGUGGCCACCGACGGGCAAUGAGUCCCUGGAAAAUCCGCUUGUGUCCUUGGAAUGUUUUAUUUUUCUGUAAUAGACAUAUGGUUGGAGUUGUAAUUUGGGGGAUUCCCUGGAGGUUGCUUUUGGUAUGUGAUGGGACAAAAGUGAUGCCGCUGGAAAUUGGAGAUUGAUCUAUGCCCUUUGAUUUUGUAAAUGAAAAAGUCAAAAGGUAAGAGUUUGGAGGGAAAAGGUUUGUCAGACUCUGGAAUUUCUAAAAUCACCCCUCUGAUAUCUGUGAAUUGUUUGUACUAUUGGCUUCAUUGACAAGCAAAGGUCAUAUAGAUUUCUUGUACCACCAAUGAACAGGAGGAUCCAGUGCCUGCCCUUUUUUUUUGUGUAUUGUUCUUUUGCCACCAAAAACCUUGGAUUGCAAUUGCUACGAUUCCGCGAACAUGUUUUUUAAUUAUAUUUUUAUUUUACAUAUACUAAAUCGAUACAGUAAUUUUUUUUAUAAAAAUAUCAAAAAAAUACAAUUCAAUCAAAACCUUAACUGGCCAUUCUCUAAUGUUUCGUAGUUGUCAUUAAUUGAAAAUGUUUCUCUGAUGACUGUGAUUAAGCACUAGCUAAGUCACUAAUCUCACCGUGAUUAUGAGCAUACAACUUCUCCAAAGAACUUGUAUGACAUAAUAAGGCCAAUUCCUUUUAAGGUCUUGUUCAAAUUGUUAUAUGUUUUUAGGAAAAAAUUUUCCGUCUUCCGCAAAUAUUUUUUUAAUAAUCUUUUUAUCUCACGUAUAUUACAUUUUGUCUUCGAAACCUUAAACUUUGUCCCUAGCACCCAGAAUUAAAAAAAAACCAACAGAUGUUAUCACUGGAUGGAUGGUGGGUACAUUGUGCAUUGCAUUCAAUAUUCAUACCUCUGAUAACGAAAUUUAGUAAUAAAGGCUCACAGCUCAUUUGGUGCUGGUCAAUAUUGGAAUGGGGUGGAGGCAUGUGCCAAAGAUAUAGUACUAUUAAAUAAUCAAGAGGACUGACUGGAAGGAAGGUUGGGAUCCGAGAAUGGUGAGAGAUCUUGGUCUUGCCCCUUCUAUUAUAUGAGGUGAGGUCGACGAGACCUUAUUUAUGGAUGACCAAAUUUUCUGUUUUCUAAUGGCUUUGUUGUUGAGGAUGAAUUGGUUCUGUUUUUGGAUGCAAUAAUUUCCAAACAGAGGACGAGGUCAAAAUGCGAUUGUAGCUCAUUGGACCCCAUUUGGAUUUUGCCAACCCGAUUGAAAAUGAAUUCACAAGAUCAACCAUAAAUGCUGCUACGUACUACUUACCAUACUACAUCACCAUAAAAUAAAGGGAUUUUUUUUAGAAAAAUGGUUUUUUUUUUUUUUUUUAAAAAAAAAGAGCUUUCAAAGCAUCCAUUCUGACCACAUUUUGUCUUCAUCUCAAAAACAUAACGUCGAACAGAACAAAAUUCGGUACGCUAAUAUUUUUCUGAAAAUUCUCGUAGAAAAUGCAAUCUAAACAGAGUAGAGAAAUCGGGAGAGGUAGGAUUGGAUUUUGGGUUAAUGUUUGAGAAUUUUUUUUUUCCCGUAGUUCUUGGGAAGCAAAAUAGGAUCACUGUCCUCCCUGUGAUAUGAAACAAAAAAUUUAUUAUGAAUCUGAUGGUGAUUUUUUUUCUUUUUCUUCUUAGGGUUUGAUGGUAGAAAUUUUGAUAUUGACUAAUGACUAUGGUUUAGAUAGAAAUUUUGAAACUGGAUAGAUCGCAAUAGGCAGUCGACAAGUGAACUGCUCUUUUGGACUGGUCUUUGGGGUCUUUUUCUUGGCCUACAUGGUCUCAACAAGAUGAAUGAAAUUUGAUGGGCCGAACGGAAUUUUAUGUCGAUUAGAUCAUCAAUUUCAAGCAUAUAAUUUUCCCGGUACAGAAAGUGGACAUUUUGCCUUUUUGUUGGUUGUUAGUACUUUGUUUUAUUGUGUUUAUUCUCGAUUAUUUGUGGUUCUUCUUUCAAUCCGUUCUCUUAAUUAUGGGAGAAAGAGAGAGAAAAAGAAAGAAAGAGAGAGGGGCUCAAGAGCUGAAUCAAAAUUUCAUGGUCAUUUAACUAAUAUCCCUAUCAGUUAAGUUGUUGGAUCGUAGAACCUUCUAUUUCUUGUUUGACGUGAAACAAUAAUAAUUUGAUCCGAGAAGAAAGGAAACAAACAAGACAUGUGCAUCUCCUCUUUGCCAAUUGAGCUUUACAAAUUUGCCCGCUAUGAAACACUUUUAAAGUUUUAUGCAAUAAGUUGUAAACAAAUACUUCCUUCGUCUCAAAUUAUUGGUCGCAUUUCGAGAUUUCAAUUUUUUAAAAAUAAUUACUUGACGGUGAUAUUAAUAGGUUUGUUUCCAAAGUUGUCCUGAAAAAUUCAAAAUAUAAAUUUGAAUUUAGUAUAAAAUAUAAAUAAAGAUGGGAAUAAUAUUAGAAAAAAAGAUAAAAAAUAACUGUGAUUUAAGUAAAAUGACAAAUAUUUUACAACAUCGCAAAAAUGGAAAAUAUAAAACUUUCAACCUUAAGGUGAGGGACUAGCUAAUUCUAUCGACCUUUCAAAUUUUGGAAAGGACCUAGGUACUUUUUAUGGCCGUAUGCCCUUAUAGAUGGCACUACAGGAGAGUGGCAAUAAGCUCCUAUAAUAUAAGCAAAUAUAUACUUCGUUUAUCACCCAACUGUGGGGAAUUCUUGUCAUCGUCUCAACAUUGCCAAUCAUCAUCGUUCAUCUCUACCUAAUUAGUGGGUUCUUUGUAUUCCGCGGGACAAGCACACCAAAAUAAGUAGGCAUUAUUAGGGUGCAAACGAGGCAGAUCGAAUCGAAUCUCAAUUUAAUUUUAUGAAGUUUGAGCUCGACGGACUCAAAAUAUAAAGAUCGAACUCAAACUCGAGCUUAACAAAAAAAAAAUAAUUAUUUUAUUUUUUAAAAAAUGAAUAAAAUAAUAAUUUUUCUUAACAAAUAAUAAAAUAUUAAGAAUGUAUCUAUGUAAUUUUAUUAUUAAAAUAAAAAAUAAAAGAUAUAUAUAUAAUCGAGUCGAUUCGCAAGUUAACGAGUUGAAUAUCUUUGAUCUCGAGUUCAACUUGAUCAGUUUGACCUCGAUAUUGACCGAGCUUGAGUCGGGUUCGGAUUCGAGUUGCUCGCGAGCGGCUUGAUUCGUUUGCAAUCCUAGGCAUUAUAUAGAAUUUUGACGUUAUUAUCCUUUCUUGAAUUACUACACUUUAACAUAAAAAAAUUUAAAGUCCUACAGAUCAGUACCAUUUGUUAUCGUGCGCGUUCUACAGACAAAAUAACUCCAAACCUCACUAUAUUCUGUUUGCUAAACGUAUAGAACGGAAGACUCCAUAAUUAGUGAUAUAGAACUUGAUUUUAAGGAAUCUCUUUUUAAAAAAAAUUGUUUGCUUUAUGUUUCAGCACACAGGGUUUAUUAGACAGGAAAAUAGAAUAACUUUCUAAGAGUUCUGCUUUUUUCGUGGAAAGAAAACUCAAGAGCAACUGGUGCACAGUGGAGCUAUAUGCGUCUAUUCGGUUUAUUAAAUAAAGUAGCCCAAAAAACUAGUACUUUGGAUUGUGUUUGUUUUGGAAUAUUUUUACUGUAGCACUUUUUGUGAUGUGAUGUGUGUGAGAUAAAAAGGUGUAUUGAAAAUUGUAAUGAUGAUGUAAGCAGAUAAAAUUGGAGAAAUAAAACACAAUCCAAACAAACCCAUUGCAGUAGAAAACUAGGCUACGAGAUAUAGAAGCCCGUAAAAACAUGGGCUGCCAAUCAGAACUAUUCAUUUCCACAUAUCUGGACUCCUUCUCAGAACUACCCUCUUGUCUUGACAAGAUGAACAGCAAGAAAUGGGAGUUGCAAUAUGACGUCCUGUCCCAUUAUUCAGCAUGUUUGCAAACAUUGAUGAAGGCCUUUUAUUUUGUUAUUAUUGUUGAUCACAAGAGAGAUUGCAAUUCAAUAUCAAAUGCUCAAAUAGGCCGAUUAUUGGAAUCUGAAUAAUAUUUAAGGAACAAGAUCAAUCAGAAUCACGUAGACCAUUUAUCACGAGUAACCAUCCUUAUUACCCAAAAAAAAAAAAAAAAAAAAAACCAUCCUUUCUUCAAACUACGUUACACAUUGAGCAGCUAGCAGGGCAUUUGAGAAAAGGGGGAUACACAUUUGAGAGAGGAGGAUGGAGAUAGCUGGACUAGAUUCAAAGCAUGGUCUAAACUAGGGAAAGGAGCCGAGGGGGUGGUGUACAAUACUCGCGCCAAAUCAGAUUCCAAAGAAGUAAAUAUUCUCAUCAUAAGCUGCAACCUUAAAUAGCUAAAUAACAGCAGUCUUGUACACUUUUUUGAUGACUUUCAGCCAGCCAGUUUCUAUAGCAAGUAGAAGAACAAUCCCCAAAGUCCAUGCUUGAGAAAAUUGAUGACAUCCCAAGAAAGAAGAACACUCUCCAAGUGAACUCAAGGUGAAGAAAAUAACCUUCCUUAUUGCAAUGGGUAGUAGCGAUGGUUCUCGCUAGCUGGAGGCUUUGAAUGGACUCUGAAGAUGAUGCAGCAUAUCGACAACAAAUGGAAUUAUAUGUAUGCUUCCCCCCCCCCCCCCCUUCACAUUCUUAUAAGGAAAUUUCAGAUGCUCGUGCCUAAAUGAUAUAUACAACAUUUGAAGAGCCUGUAGGGAAAAAGGCACGAUUUAUAUUCACCAACAGUUUUUACUCGUGCACGUGACUGCUGCACCAGUUGCUUGCAAAGUGAUAGUAAAGAUGGAAUCUUUGAAGCCUUUUUUUUUUUUUUGGUUGGAAGUUUGUUGCUGUCACAUUGAGCCUGAGGAUGUACUUGCAUUUGGGUCCAUGGCGCUCUUUGGAAAGGAAUGAUGUUGAUGAGAAGGCCAUCGAAUUCGCUCAGGAGGACAAGGCGCAGGAGCAGGGUGCGCUAUAAAGGUAGGCAUGUCUUCUCCAGGCAUUAGAACAGACACCUCUCUGGCACUUAUAGGCAUCUGAAAUAUUUCAACAAAAAGACAGUCACAAGAACUUCCAAGAGUGUAUUUCACAAAGGGCAUCAAUGAUUUUAUGAGAAAUUCUACAAUGUGAUAUACCAUAAUUCGUAGAAACAAGAGUGUGACCCAUGAGAUACCGCAAAUGCGGUAUACACAUGGUAGAUGAUCCCAUAAUUUUAUACCAAAUAGGAGUUACUGAACAAUCUGUUGUAAAUUGCACACGCAUGGCACAUAGAAACAUGCUUUUAUCAAAGAAGCAGCAUAUUUUGUUCAUUGAAAGAGGACUGAAAAGGUAGCUAGCUCUCUAUCGGUACUUGACCGAUGGAAGUUUUUACAAAAUGACGAAGGAAAGUGGAAAGUGUGGAGUGCAGGUAAAGUUUGGUCACUGCAGGAUGGUGACCAUCACGACCUGAUUAACUUAGUAUCAUAGUUGGAACCUCGGCUACUCCUAUUUGCUUCUACUAAGCAAUCUUGAAAAAGGGCAACUGGAUGCUGAGCAAAUUCGUGCUCUUGUAAAAAAUGCAACCAUGGAGAGAAAAGCAUAAGCAUCCAAUUAUGACCCAAGUAACAUAGAUUGUCACGCAAACCUGAGGAAACAGAAGCUUGAAUGCUCAUGUUUGUUUUGGGAUCAAUAAAAUCCAGGCGAAAUGUUACCUCUGUUACCGUUGAAGCCUGAGGGUAUUGGAAGCAGGUAAAUGUGGGGAAAGAAUUUCACCAGAAACUGGUAAAAACUGUACUAGACAACAAUGCUUGAAUUUGCAAGCACAUCAUUGUCCAUACAAUUUAGCAAAGAAAAUCACUAAACAGUAUAAACCACACAGUUUGCUCGGUAUUAAAUGCCAUGCUGAGAAGCCAGCACAAUCUAGGUAUGUGACUCUUUAUUACUAAAAUGUUUGCAGGAUAGAACAAGAAUUUGGUUAAAGAACCAAGCACAUGAAAACUUAACAAACAAACAGAUCAGAGAAGAAUAGAAAUUCAAAAGCUUAUGGCCAGAUAUGCCUUUUUUUAAAUGAUAAUAACAUAGCUGGAAUGAAUUUCAAGAUUAAUGGUGACGGACCAAGUGGAAUUUAAGUACAGGUGGUGGGCCAAAAAUGGACCAGAAUGAUGGAGCUUCAUGCAGCAUAAAGUCCCAAAUCUCAUUAAUGGGUAGCAAUCGACCAGCUAACAACUUCACUGAUGGGCCAUUGACCAAAAAAAAAAAUCAAAUCAGAGGGAGUGUUUUCUGGGGCAUACAAACUUAAGGAACAUGCACAUGCAGACCUGUCAAGGAUCUCAAAUGGUAAAAUUGUCCAGAGCAGUCAAUGCAGCCUUUCACUUUAUGCCUUUGAAGUUUUUCCUCCUUCUGCCAAUUCUUUAGCUGAAAUGCGCAGAGGCUAAGACAAUAUGAAGCCGGAUUAAUUUUUUUCUGAAACAAGGGCCAAAGGACUCCAAACUUAUUUUUUGCAUAAGCUCUGAGAAUCCUUGCAGGUUCUAGGAAUGUAUUGCAUCCAAGAGGAAGUAAUUAGUUUUCCAACAAUGCGGAAAUGUACUUUGGAAAUUCACCUUCCAUACGUUCUGAUAUGAUAGAAGACGCCGUAUUGAUCCCAUAAACUUACAAACUCCCCGUCCACCCAACAUAGAGGGCGGAAGGUUAUUUCCACAAAAUUGAUAGUGGCAUUCCAAAUUAAACAAUAAUCAUCAUAGCGAUUGAGGUGUAUUUAGAUGAAGAAGCAACCUAAACCAGAAAAAGGAAGAGGAGAAGAAGAAAGGAACUAGACAAUGACGAAAAGAGAAGUCUAAAAAUUGACAGCUAAACAAGUAUUGUAAAUUACCCUAGGAAAAAGAGCUCUCAUAGAAAAGUUUCAAAUAACUUCAAGAUAACCUGAAUUAAAAGAAACCUAAAUGAUGGUGGAAACAGGUCUCAACACAGACCUGAAAACACAAAUACAAGGAAGAAAGGAAUCUUUUUUAAUGGGCACAAACAAGAAGAGCAGAAAAAGAAUGAAAGAAGCGAAAAAUGGCUAAGAAACCAAUUAGCUGAAGAGAAGUGCCAAACCCCCAAAAUUAACAGAGAUGGCCAUAAUCUACGGAAAUACUUGUUGUCAGACCACGAAUAAGCAUUAACUGACAAAAUCCAAACUUUCAUCCAUACUUGAGACUGCCAGGCAAUCCCACACAACCAACUCCAAUCAAAUCCGAAGAAGUCACAAAGUUAUGGUCAUUCUUUGACUGCUAGUAUAAAACUUAUCGUAUCCAGACAAGACAAAAACAAUAAAUAACACAAGCAGCUAAAAAGCACUUACUUUGGGUGAUGGAUGACAAAGUUUUCCUGCAAACCCAAUAUGGGAUUCGAUGUCAUGAGGAUGUCUGCGCCCAGCAGACGGUGUCAAAGCUGAUGAUGUUGGUCUGAGGAACCUCUCAAAGAUCGCCAUUACUAGAAACAUUGAGAUGAGAAUUGCAGUGGCCACAAACCCAAAAGACACAGCAUUGACUGAGUUAUCAAAGUGCCUCCAGUGAUCAUCUUUUUGUAUGUAAAGUGGUGCACCAUUUGGUGACCAUCCCAUUCCCUCUUCUGCUCCUCCUCCUCCCAUCUUUUUUCUACACCUUUAAGAACUCCAAAUUUCAGAACUAGGAAAAAAGGGUAACAAUCACAAACAUAAUGUGGUGAUCAAAAGACUGAGAGAACAUAUGCAAGAAGACAGUUAUGGCAGUUCAAAAAGAUGGGGAACUAAAUGAGAAGCUUGACCAGAAAAUGCUUUUUGAAGCAAGAACAGUGGUUAAAAUGCUGAGGAGACUGAGGACUGAGGAAAGGGUGCAAAUUUGUUGCUUCAGUCUUGAGACAGAGAUGUUGAAGAAGAGAGAGCUUUGGGAUUUGGACAGAGAAAAGUUAGAUAAGGAGUAAGGAAGGCUUGUGCUAUACUGCUGCGGUUUGUGCGUUUUAUCGUUCUUCCAUUCAGUCAUUUAACUGUGCUGUGAAAAAGAAGUUGAAUACUUUGGAAAUAUGAAAGCAUCUAAGUGAAUUUCUUUGGCGUGCAUCCUUAUUCAGGAUUUCUUGAAAUUUCACUCACAGGUGCAAAUAUAUUCCUUUGAAUCGGUAACAGUUCAGUCUCUUCUAAAUUUUCUAUUAACUUCAUUGACCGCCUUUUUUUCAGUAUACAGUAAGAAUAAGAUUAGACGUAAAAUAGAAUUUAUGAUAUGUCAAAAAAAAAAAAGAAUGAAUAACUGUUGCGUUUGUGCUGACAUAUGAGUCGUCGUUUCUUUUACAGAGGCAGGCAAGCCUAAAGAACUUAAGCCUGAACUUCUGGACUAAUUUGAUGUACUACUAUUAACUACUCUAGUUUGGCAAUAUUUCAGCCACUUUGUCCUCCCAAAUACAAAAACCCCACCUAAUAAGAACCCCUUCCCUUAAUUGAAGGCAUAGGUGUCAUAAAUAAAACUCCACUAGUUUGACCUCUAGUUACGUAGUGCCUUAUUGGCCUAAUUGGAUUCUUAGGACUUUCCAAGAAGAAGUUACCUGCGGGCUCCUUCCUUAUUUUUUCGACACGCAUGCCCAGGUUCCGGAACUCCCCAUUCCCCUUUCUAGUUUUCCACAUUAUUUCUGCUCAGGGCUGCUUUUGUACCAAAAUAAGGCACAAGGUGGUGGUACCGGCUAACCGGGCGUCCAAUGGCUAAUCUAAAAUGAAUAAAAUUACCAUAAUUGAUGAAUUUCAGUAUCUAAGAGGUGAUGUCUUUAAUUUUAGAAAACUUCUGGUACGGAAAUAAUUUUAUAAAUAACAAAAAAAAAGAUCAUUUCAAAUAAACCAACAAAAAGUGGGGUGAAAUUUUGACUAUUUGUACUUCUCGUGACUUUUUACAACACUAGUCAAAACUAAAUUAAUGCUUUUAGUGUGAAACCAUUUGUUAUAAACUAAAAUGGUUCGAGCUUCACAUACAAGAAUAUUUUCAAUUGAAACGACAAUUUCUUUCUUGGAUUUUGCAUUUGUUUUGGUUUUACUACAAUUUCUCAAAACAUUGAACAUUUUAAAUAUGAGUUACAAUUUUUAUAGUUCCAAAUUGAUUUCCUAAGUGUAAUUGUCUUAAGGUUAGGCAUGUCAUUUAGUAUACAAAUCCUUUAGAAAUAGAUUUCUGCAAAUAUUUCGCAGUAUCAUUCCCGACUAACACAAUAAUCCCUUCAAAUUUUAUGACAUUAGGAGAUUGCUCGAAAGAAUUAUAUUACAUCCAAAACACAUAUAAAUUAUUUGCAAUAUUUACUACAUAGAAAAAACUCAUAGAUAUGAUGGAAAUAUACUGGGUUUGUUUGAGUUGGUCAAUUUUAAACUCCCCCUUCCCUCCAACCAAAAAAAAAUCUAUAAUCGUACAAACUUUUUUUAUUUUUUUUAUUUUACAUACAUAUUGAUCUUACACUAGGGGGAGCCCAAAAGCUGCUAACCUGGUUACGUAACGCAUAACUUGCAAGAGUAAGAGUUUGUCGUCUUCACUCCACACUUACAAACUCUCGGAAAAAUGGCUCUGUUUGGUUUUUCCAUUUUUAAAAAAACAAGUUUUUUGUAUAUAAUACUAUAAUAAUGCACAAGCAAAAACAAUUCAAAAAAUACAUAUCUUUAUAAUAUAUCAAAAACAAUUUCAAGUACACAAAAAAAUUUAAAAAUAAAAUAUAUAUUAUUUUCUUCUUUCAUCUAUCACCACCACCAUCACCCCCACCCACUAUCUUACUCAUUUUUCUCUUUCCUCCUCAUUCCUCUCCCUCCCUCUUCCUUCUCCCUCUCUUUCCUCCUCCCCUUCCCCGCCAUAGCCCACCUCCUCCUUCUAGCCUCCACUAGAUUGGAGAGGGGAAGGAAAGGUAGGGGCAGGGUGUAACGAGAACGGGCAGAGAAAGGAAAGGAAGGAAGAGGGACGGGGAGAAGAGUGGAGGAGGGAAAGAGGGGAUGGUGACGGUAGUGGGUAAUAGUGGUGGAUGGAAUGUUAAUUUUUAAAAAUUAUUCCAAAAAUUUUUAAACUUUAAAAAUACCCUAAAAUAUAUCCAAAAACAUCACUAAAAACAUCUACAGUAAAAAAUUUUCAUAUACAUUGUUACAGUAAAAUAUUUCAAAAACACCCUAAAAAACAGCUAAUAGCAUUUGUAAAAAUGACUUGCUAGGUUUACCAUUCGUUGCACAAAGUAUGAGAAGAAUUCUGGUUUGUGGCAACCAAGUAGGGAUGUCCUGUACUUGUAGGUCAGCAAACAGUCAAUCUAAUAAUUGCAGAACUAAUCUUACACGAAUAGACACAGUCUAAUGGCUCCAAAGGAAAUGAUGCAAUAUUGGGCUUGUUUGGAACCUGAGUUUUUUGGGAGUUUGUCUAAAACUUUACUGUAGUGCGCUGUAGAAGUUUUUGAAAAAAUUUUGUAGAGGUUUUUGUAAGGCGAAAUUUUUUUCCAUUUCUUUUUUUCUUUCCUUUUCUCUUUCUCUUUCUUUUUCUUUUUCUUUUCUUUCUUCUUCUUCUUCUUCUUCCUUCCCCCUUCCCCUUCCCCUUCCCCGUUACCUCCGCCAUCCCUCUCCUCCCUCUCCCCCGCCACCCCCUCAGCCCCGCCACCCCUGCAAAAGCUCCCCCUCCCUCUCCCUCUGCCCGCCACCCCUCUGCCCGCAACCCCCUUCCCCCACCCUUGCGCUGUGGUGGAGGGAGCUGAGAGGAACGACGGCAAGGUGGGAGUUGCGAAGAGGAGAGAGAACGCGUGAGGGCUUUGGGUCGCGGCCAAGGAGGAACGGCGGCACACGGUGGAGCUAGGGGGCGUGGCUCGAGCGAGAAGCGGCGGUUGGGCCGGAGUCGCGCGAGGUGGUGGUGGUUUCGUCGGCGUUGCGAGGGAGAGAAAAGGGUUGUGGUGUCGUUGGAGUCGCGCGGCCAUGGGCAGCGGUGUCCGGCCGCGGAGACCGAGAAACGCGCGAGAAGAGAGAGACGUGCGGCGAGGUGGCGGCGUGCGCUGGUGAUGAGGGGAGGAAAUGACAAUAGACAAAAGGGGAAGAUGGCGGGGAAAGGCAGAGAGAAAGAGGGGAGGGGGGAGGGGGGAGGGGGAAAGAAAAAAAAAGAAAAAAGAGAUUUUGGAUACCAACAUAUCGGUCAAAAGAAGAGGGGAGGGAGAGAAAAAAAAAAAGAGGAAGGCCUGCAAAAAUUGGCUGGAAUAGUUACCGGUUUCGGAAGCGGUGGUGGAGGUGGUGGCCGGUUGGGUGGGGGAGGAAAAAGAAGAAUAAAAGUUGAAGUGAAAGUUUUUUGUGUAUUAUUUUGAAGUGUGUAGGUAAAAAACUUUGAUAAGUUUUUUGGGGUUCCUGUAGCAAAAGUUGUUAUAAAACUAGUAGCUAAAAAACUAGGCCAAAAACUUCACUUCCAAACAAGCCCAUUAUUUUCAACAUGGACAUAAAAGAUAGACUAAUAAACUUUUCUUGCACCCAAUUACUGAAGCAUGUUUCGGGCAAACAUAGAGCAAAGAUUGGGAAUUGACCCACUCAACCCCAACAAUUUCAUUUUCAGCUCCCAAAGUGCAGCAGAGAAAAUGAGAGGACGCCUUACCCAGAAGAAAAAAAACCAAAAAGGAAAAAGAGAGAAAAAAAUAAAAUAAUUAAUUAAGCAAGACGCCAAGGCCCAAUCAAUAAUCAAACUCCAGAGUACCACUUUUCCAUCCGAUGAAUAGGUCCACUACUUAUACCAACGGUCCCUGCCAGCUCCAUUAGUAUACCUUUUUCUAAUAACAAAAGUUAAUCUUGAGGGGCCCAGCCCAAUAACUCCCCUUUUUGUCUAUUGUCUCCUACUUAGUCAGGUCGAAUUACAAUAACAUCCCCAGACCCAAGUACUCUGCACUUUUGUUGAUGUUGAUGAGGGGGGGCAUUAUUGGAGUAAAAGCGAAACAUAUGGGCCUAAAUCCAUCUGCCAAUGUCCAAUACUAAAUUUCAGCAAUAUCUGAGGAACUUGGGGAGAGGAAGUACCACAUUAGUCAGUAGUAGAGCAUCUACAACAAAAGUGUUGGUAAAGUAUUUAAGCUGCUGCGCCUGCCUCCAUAAUAAAACAUCAAACAUGCAGCGCAAAUUGUGGUCCCUUGGAUUGCAGGACUCUUACAACUAAGCCGCUCGCCAAAAGCAAAUUUUGGUGCCCACCUACUUGGACAAGAUGACUUGGCGUCCGACAUGGCAGGUUGAGGGCUUUUAUUGCAGGUAUGGUAUUUGUCUAUAUUGACCAAGUAAUAAUGGUUUGGAGCUGAUUGAUCUAAUCCUUGAAGGAUGCAUAUUAUUAUUACUCGGCUGUUUGUUUGUUUAAACAAAUAAAUUGUAAUUCGAUUUGUAAUUUAGGGCUCGUUUGAGAUUGCAUUACGUUUACGAAGGAAAAAAAAUGCUUUUGAGCAGUAAAAGUGUUUACAGGAUAUUUAAUAAUUAAUUUUUCGUAACUUAAGUAUCUUAAUUUUUGAUAAUUUAAAGGUACUUAUAUCAGAAGUGUUUUUUUACAAGCCAUCAAGAUCUCAAAUGAAACCUUAGUACGAUACAAUUUCCACUUUAUAGGCACUCUAAUUUCCACUUUCAAAUUUAAACUAAUAGCAUUCAUCAUGGUAAAGCAAUUGCCUUUUGGAUAAACUUAUGGGGUUACCUUAGAUUCUGGGUGCGUGUGUUUCUUUGCGCUGUUGAAAGCAUUCAUCAUGGUGAGAGCGGCUGCAUCCAUCUCUUUCACAUUUCUGUAUCCAUUUAACUGCUUCCCCACUAAAUUGAGAAAAAAAAAAUAAGAGAAUGGCUAAACUGAUGCAUACAGGUUCUAACUUGUACUCUUUUGUGCAUUUAUGAUUUAUAUUACUAACAUGGACACAAUAUUCUCAAAAAAAAAAAAAGAAAGAAAAUGAAAAAACUAACGGAUUCAUUUGGAUGUCAUUAUUUUUAAAAAAUUAAUUUUAGUGUUUUCAAACAAAUUUUCUGUCGCUUUUUAACUUAUAAUCGUCGCAUUAUAAAACGUUAACAAUAAAUAAUAUAAUAAAAAAUUUUCAAUUAUAAUCCUCAUAUGAGCGCUAGUACUUUUCUUGAGCCUUAAUAAAUUGUUCAUCAAUUAUCAUCAUCCCUCGUUCGUCCUCAUAGAAAAGGCUUAUCCCUUUUGGAUUUGGUCCCCAAGAAACGCUCUUUAAUACACGUGUCAACCAAGACAUCCAAAUCAUCAUUCUCCACGUGGCAUUGAGGUCCCACCCGAUGAUAGUAGUAGCAGUAUUAGUCCUUGUACAAGGGGUAAAUUAGGAAAGUCAAGAAUAAAAGCGUAAAGCUUCAUUAUUAUUUUUCAUGUCCUACUCGAUACAUCAGCUCUAAAAAAUGUCGGCCCUUUCAGGUUUUCGCCAACAAAUGGGACAUUUAUUUCUCGAGAUUGUCCCCCCAAUCGAGCGGUCCAGAUCCUCUGGAAAGAUCAAACGGGCUUGGACCGUUGGAUCGUUUAGUCCCGUAGUCAACGAGCUAGAUGAGUCAAAAGAAACUCGGGAAGCCCGCGUGCGUAUGAGCAGCAAUUGCACGUGAGGGCUGCGUGUGGGUGGCGUGGGGACUGUGGUUUCUCUGAGACUCUGACUUCUGCUGGGUGGGUAGGGGCUUACGGCCGCGGAAUGUAGGGCCGAAGCGGUUUUGUGGCUUGUGGGAGACUGUGUUUUCUUUUGGCAUCCGUUGCAAUUUGGGAGAAGCAAAAUCAGAUAAAUGCUAAUUCUAGACGCAGUUUGAGAUUGCAGUAUAAAAAAUCACUUUUAAUACAGAUAAUUUUAAUAAAAUUAUUUUUAAGCUAUCAAAAACUUGACGUGCUUUUAACAAAUAAAACUGCUUUUAAGUUAUCUUUACGUAUGUGUUAUGGAUUGAGUAUCAUGUUCUGCCUUUUACCGCUAUAAAUGAAUAAGAAUUUUAAAUAUUAACUAAAAUUACUCUCACCUUAAAAAAAUUGUAGAAAUUGAACUUUAAAAGUCGGCUAAUUGGACAACAAAAGCAUUAAACUUGACAUUGCUUAGUGUUUAUACCUUUUUUUUUACAUGCAAAAUGCAGUCAUUUACGCGUAUCAAUUUUGAAUAUAGGGCGACUUUUAUCUACAACAAAUGAAAUAUAUUCUUAAUUUGGAUUGUCCUUUUUUUGUUAAAAAAAAAAUUACGUCUUUGUGAAUAUAUUUUUUGAUCAUUUUUUUAUUUCGUAUGCAUCAUAUUUUUAUAAUAUAUUUUUUAAUAAAAAUUUUAAAAAAUAGCAGUACUGAUGGGAUACAUCAUUUAUUGUAGCUUCAUACGUUUUUAUAAUAGAAUUUCAAUGCUAUAAGUGAAGUGACUAAGCACGGAAAAUGUUUGUUUCAGUAGCUCCGACUGGGGGCUAACUCUGUCUUGUGUUUUGGGAGUGUGUGUCAGAUGGGUGUGGACCUGUGAAUGCUGGGUCAGGUGGUGGGGCUGGUGGCUCGUGUGAGGCGGAGCUCAUGGGUCAUAACUCAUAAGGGUUCACGUGAAAGACCUUUUUUCGCUUUUCUUGGCUCCUACUACUGAGUGAGAUUAGAAGAAGAAGAUACUUUCUCUACUUUUCAUGAGCAAGAGAAAAGGAUGAAUUGAUGCUCGAAUUGCACUCGGCCUCUCCUCCAUUUAAAUAGAAGCCACAAAUCUUGUCUUGGCCCAAUUUUAAGCCUUAAAAAAAAAAAAUUGUUGUAGAAAAGAUGUUGGCCCAAAACAUGUCACACUAUGAUUGGUCUCUGAGGGCCAAGUUUUCUCACAUCAUAAUCAUAUCCUUGCUUUUUGAGGGCUUGAUUGAUUUUGCCUAAAUUUUAUGUGGUCAUAAUUUUCUGGAAAGAAUGGUCAAAAAUCCAAAAAACCAAAUGGGUGAAAUCAGAGCAUAUGGGACAGAAACAUAGGAUUCAGUUUUUCCAUGUGGUCAAAAGAAGAGGUACUUGAUCAUGGAGGAAAGUAAAAGAAAGUGAAAAUAGAUUGGGUCAUUGGAAGGUUGUAAAAGUCCUUUUACGAGUUGGGUCUUUGUGCGAUUUCUAUUUGAUUCAGUAUGACCAUUCUUUCAUGCAGACCAUUCAUGGGGACAACUUGGGUCCAUAGGGGAAGCAUUUGUGUUAAUGGAAUGAGUUCUUGAUCGCUAGUGAAAUGAUUUAAAAUACUUAUUAGUUGAAAAGGAGAUAAUCAUGGGCAAUAAAAACUGAUUUAGUGUCACCCAAUCUCAAACUGUGGGGCCAAACUGAAUGAAGAAAGGGAAAAAAAAAGAUUAAUUAAAUUUUUUUAAUUAAUCUUUUUUUGGGGGGGGGGGGGCAGAUUUAGAAAGACAUCUAAAAACACAAUCAAGGACAGGGAGGGAACACUGUUUGAUUACUCUUAAGUAGGCCCUUAGGAGGCAGCAUCAUUGGUUGACUUAAUGAACAUGCCAUCCAGAGGUUAUGAAUGGAUUGCUUGUAAAUAACCAGACCUGACAUAAUCAUGAUUUAAAUUGCUAAUCCUGUUCCUGUUUUGGAAUGACAUAUCAGUCACAAAUUUCGGCUGCAUUGUACAGAGUUGGAAUUGCGAAGAAGAAAGUCUCUCAAAUCAAAUGUCCCUCAUGAUCAUUUUCAAUGUAGAAAGAUAGGUCACGAUUUUUUUAUUUUUAUUUUAAUUUUUUUGGGUUGAUUAGGUAACUAAACAUACAGUAGAGGAAACCCUUGUUCAGUAACCUGGAAAUUGCAUCCACUAGGCAAAAUCAAACCCUUAACGGACACCAAAAUGAACUAAGAUAGUUGGACUGCACAACAAUGGCUGCAGAGCUCCCUCACUCCCUCUUCUUCAAUCGGCUCAAAGCUCCUCCAUGCAUGAUCUGCUGUUGCUGUUGUUGCAGAUGUGUCGAAUGAAUGGACCAUUGAAAUUGUUCUUGAUGAUUCCCCUGGCACCUUAUAACCAGCCAAGAAAUACAGAUGACUUCCAAUUGGUGCCAUAGUUAGGUAAAGCCGUUGAAUGGGUUCGAAGCCUUCUUCACCACCAUGUUUUAGAUAUGUGGAAACUGGAGAUGGAAAUCUUUUUAGUUGUGACCCUUCAACCACGUUCCAUAUAUUGAGUUUUCCAUCGUAGAAUUCAGUAUGACCUUUCCAUGCACUCAGGCAAUCCCCAGAGCUAAACAGAUGGCCAUCCACUUCAGCAAUUUGAUUAGGUGGCACGUCCAACAGCCACAUCCCCGAAACAAGGUCCCACUUGCCACUCUGUACAUUGUACACCUCAGCCGAGCACCGAUCUAUGUAACACGAUUGGACUAAUCCGCCGACCACGUGGACUUUCCCUCGCCACGUCACACCUACAGAUUUGUACCUCAAUCUGCUCAUGUUCGGCAGGGGAGUCCAUUUAUCGAUCAGGGGAUCAUACACUUCAGCGGAAGCAGUGCCCCUAGCACCAGCCAGCAACAUAGAUCUUGUUGUCACAAACAGUGCACGCAAAAUCAUAUCUAGGUACGCUGAGGGGUGCACAAUUAGACCAUUCCUCAGUGUGGAUAUUGUAGCAGCAUACACUUGAAAGUACUUCCACAUCUGUGUCUAAAAUUUCAUCAAAUUCAUAUGAACUCCGUACUCUCCCUUUAAGGCAUAAUCUUCCUCCAAUUAUGUAAAUUGAAGUUCCAACUGAUAUCAUGGCAGAGCCCUUUAACACAUGGUCCUCAUUUAGUCCUGGAACUGAGCUAGCAUAAGUCCAUGUGUUGCUAUAAGGGUCGUAAGACUCUAACCAAUUUGUGACACUUAGAUUAGGUUCUACCUCCCCUGAGCAAAACGAGGCGUAAAUUCGAUAACCGGAAGCAGAAUUUCCCGGUGACGGUGGUGGUGUAAAAGGGAGGGAACUCAUGACAGGGGCUUGAAGUGGUUUUGGGGGGGGAUUGCAGUAUAUGGGAUUAAUCAUAUUACUGCAGUUCCAUACUAUUUAUAAGGGAAGUGUCAGAUAGCGGAAUAACGCGGCGAAGACAACAAUGAAGCUGUUGUUUGUCAGCAUCGAAUAGGAGUAAACUUAUGGACGGUGUAAUCAUCGGAUUAGAUUAGAAGAAUUUGGACAAAAUCUUGACUAAAUUCAUGCUCUUCUGAUGUGUCACACGUCCAAAAUUGUUGUAUUCCCACAUCUGUUUGUAUUUCUUGAGAUUUAGUACUUUGGGAUCAAAUUCAAGGGCACUGCUUGUAAAUCAGGAUCAUGCAAGCAUCAUAACAUUUGCCACGAUUAGAAUGGAGUUGAGUUGGUUACAAAAUCCAAAUACUCGAAUUCGAUACAACCAAGAAGUCUAGUUUAUUAUCAUUUAAUUCAUCCUGGUCAAUUCUAAGAGUAAAAGGGUCUCUUUCCCUCUUCCUUUUCCUUCUUUUUAGUUAAUACCAUCAUGGGAUGAAAGAUUGUACACAUUUGGGCAUGGCUUAGAGUGUGUUGCACAAAACAAAUCAAGUGAAAUCCAAAUGAAGAUGAUUGCUACUAGGAAAGCUAUAUAUAUAUAUAUAGGCGGACACACAAAUUUUUUAUACUAAAAAAAACUAGUGGUUUGCCGACACAUUAAGUCUUACUAAAGUGCAAACUACAUCUAAAAUACUGUUAGUGAUCAGUACAAAAAUCAUGCUUAGGAACAUACGACCUUUUUUUUUAAUUUGGAAGAAGGAACACACGACCUCAAAUCAUAGACAAGUCUAAUCAUUCCAUGGUGUUCUAUUCCUCUCUUUCUAUCACCACUCCAUUAUCUCUCAUUUUAUUUAUGCAAUCAAUCACGUUUAAUUAGAACUUAAAUAAAAGGGAUAAUAUAAAAAACCUCCCCCAAAGCUUCUCUUAAUAUCACAUAGCACUCCUAAAGUUUUAAAAUUAUCACUUAAUCUCCUUUACUUUUUUUUUUAUUUGUGUUAAAAACCCUAAACUACCAUUUUGCUCGCUAAAUAAAAAUGCUCGUAAGUUACUUUGUUUGUUUCAAGAAAACCAUCACCUAAAAAAUAAUAUCUAAUAGUACUACCAGGGCACAAUGCUAUAGUCCAUAAAAGUACAAAUCUGAAAAACAAAAAAGAUAUUUGUAAAGAAAUACACUAGUACCAAUUUUAUUCUAUAUGCUCAAAAUUGAUUUCUUAUGAUCCUUAUAUUUUUUUUCCAACUUCUUCUCAAUCCGUGUUAAAUCCUUUAAAUUGUACUGAUCAUUAUAAAAAUCAAUUCAAAAUAAACAAAAAAAAAUUUUUGAGUUACAUUUAUUUGAUAUGUGAAUUAUGUAUCAAGUGAGAGUUAAUAUAAUCUUUUUGUAAUUAAUAGGGGAGGUAAGUCAAGUGAUAUCUUCAAAAUUUUAAGAGUGCUAAAUGAUAUUAGAAGAAACCUUAAGGGAGAUUUCCUGAUAUUAUCCAUAAAUAAAUUGUGGAGGGCUGGAAUAGUUCAUUACUUAAUGUUACUUAAAAGUUGGCUAUAGAUGCACUUUCGCAUGAACCACUCUGAAAAAGUGCCUAAAAAGAAGAUGGAUCCAAUCCAUACAAAGAUACACCAAAUCUCACUAUUACUUCUACUAAUACUACUAUUAGGGUCUAAAUGAGCAAGAAUAAUUCAAUUCGGCGAUAGACAUCAUCGAGGUUUGCUUAUCAAGAAACAACUAACUUUUUUAGUCGAGCUAGAACAUAAUAAUGUCUCAAUAUCUCUUGUUCAAAGAUCUUCUUUAUCUACUUUUGGGGCGAAAAGAAAUCCUAAACCAAAUACUAUAUUGAAGUUGCAGUUCUAGAUCAAUAUGGAUAUUGCUGUUGCUUAAGGGUUGAGAAAGCAAGGCAUGCAACCGGGGAACCAAUCAACCUUGUAUUGGUGCAGCUUUGUAGAAGUAACGUAACUAUCUGCUGGCUGCCCUUUUUAUUAUUAUUUUUUGAGUCACAUCUGCAUGCCACUUAACUUUAAUUAUAGUUCCACAUCAUUAGAAAAGCGAAAAAAAUAUUUAACAGAAUAAAAAAGAGCAAGAAAAACAUGUCUAGGGAGUAGUUCCUGUGUACAAGCUUCAUGUAUGUUAACCCCAAGAUUGCCCCUGAUCGAGUUAUGAAAUAGCAUUGGCUAAGGUGGAUAAUUUUAGGUUCAAAUAUUAUUGAGCUAUCGAAUUGCGCUUUUGUUAAAAUUCUGCCAUCAUUUUCUUUUUGGGUUUUUUUUCCCCUAAAGUAGAGAAUAAGAAGUGCUUCUUAAUUGCUGUAUUAAACUAAUAUCAAAUUGGACCAUGCACAUGAUUGCAUUAGCCUAAAAACCAGUUUUCAUUGGGAAAAAUUAAACCUUGCUUGGAAUGCUAAGUUUGACCCCCAAAAAAAAAAAGAAUUUUUGGACACAUUUUUCAAUUUCUUUCUACCUCAUAUACAUCACACUACUAUAUUAACAUUUUGAGAAAAUCUUAUAUAUACUGACAGUGUAUACGUUAUUACAGUUUGAUGCACGACACUUAUGCAAAUUCUGAAAUUUAAAUUAAAAUUAUGUAUAAUAUAUCUAAUAAUAAAAAUAUAUACAAUACAGUGCGCGAAAGAUUAAUCAUAAUAUUUUUAUACAAAAAAACUCUAAAAACUAGCAAUCCAAAGAUUAAGCUUCAGUUUUCUUUGUUGCGAUAUGGACCAAGUGAUGUAAUAAAUGGGCUGAUUGCUUUUGGGCCUCAAUUCCAAUGGAUUACACUAGCUUAAUCUUAGUCAAUGAAUCGGGCUCAGCCACCAAGACUAAUAGCUAGAGUCAACUACUCAAGAAAUUGUUUUUUUUUUUUCCAGACUUUUGAAAUUAGUGAGUUAAACCUAAUCCCAAAUUUAACCCCAAAAGCCAGCAACUCUUGAGGCAAACUUGGGGACUUAACUACCCAACCCCAGAGAAACGAUGUGGGACUACGGGAAAGUUAGUAGGGAAGCCUCUACUAGACGUUUAAAGAAGAACCCACUUACCCCAGAUACCUCCCCUGCGUCUUUGUCUUUUUUUUCCAGACUUUUGAAAUUAGUGAGUUAAACCUAAUCCCAAAUUUAAUUCCAAAAAUCGGCAACUCUUGAGGCAAACUUGGGGACUUAACUACCCAACCCCCAAACCCCAGAGAAACGAUGGAAGUUUUUGAUGAAUCCCUAGUAGCCGAAUAUUAUAUUAAUUUGUUCAAGUCUUUGAAAUGUCCCCCCCCCCUCCCCUCUCCUCUCCUCUCCUCCUUUUUUUUUUUGCUUUUUUAACUUGUAAGACUUGGAGACUUUUUUAAACUAAUAUAUAUAAUAAGGUUUGGUCCAGAACUGAUCAACAUGGACUUGGCAAGAUUUAAAGAGGCCCUCCAUUCUAAGUCGAUUAGUUGUGAUAUAUUACUUUUAUUUCUUUUUAGUACAAUGUACCAAUGUGUCACUUUAAUUCGCAAUAUUAAUAUUUUAAAAUAUAUAUAUAUAAUUUUCAACCAAAAAAAAAAGAAUAUACGUGCUUCCAAAGAUGUUUUGCUGUAUAUCAGUGCAUUUAUGUCCUGCCGAGGACAGAAGCCAAUGUGCAGGAAGAUGGGGUAACUAUUAUACCGGGGCCGUGCACAUCAGAAAUUGAAUACAUAGUUAUUAUUAUUUUUUUUCCCUAACGAUAAUAGAAUACAUAGUUAUUCAAUUGGCAGUUUUUUGGUUGGUUGUCUCCUGAGUCAUCUGUCUCAAAUUUACUGUGUGUUUUUGUUUUUCUACCUUUUUCUUUUUUCUCAAAAUUUCAGCUUCCCUUUUGCGGAAGGGCGUGUAGGAGGAAGUGGGGCUAUCGACUAAUAAGGGUGUGCAUGUUGAUCCGAUAAUCUAAAAAUCCAGUGAUCUGAUUUGGAUCCGAUGCAAAAUAACGAAUAUUCAGUCUCUCAGAUCAUCAUAUGUGGAUCGAAUCACAUCUAAAUCAAGAAGUUAUGCGAGUCGAGUUCGGAUAUCAUUUUUUGUGACCCAUGAAUAUUUGAUCCCAUCGACCCAUGAAUAUUUGAUCCCGUCCGUAUAGUAUUUUUUUUAAAAAUUUUAAGAAUUGUUUAUACAUUAAAUCCACUAAUUUAUAAUUAUUUUACCUCUUGUUUCUUAUUUUGAUAUCGAUAUCAUCUUUCAAAAUAAACUUUCUUUGCAUAUGAUGUUAAGUUUUUAAACAUAUUGUUGUGUAAUCUGUGGAUAAAGAAAUUGUAGACGAAAUAUUUAAUAUUAUUUGUUUGAAUCGAAAUAAGAAAAAAAAUAUAAAAGUUACUUUAUAUUGCAACAAAACAGAAUUAUUGAUUAAUUUUGACUAAAAAGUUCAGCAAAUUAGGCACAUGAUAUUUUUGAAACUCUAAUGCAUCUAAAUUUCAUUUUACUUUUUGGAUUUAUAUUUUUUUCAAAAAAAAUUAAAAUCAGAUACGAAUCGAAUAUCUAAUUGACCCGACUGCAUAUUGCAGAUAUGUGUAGAUAUUCGCAUUAGCGGAGGAUCCGAAUAUGGAUCACAAAAUGACUGAUCCGCUUUUGCGAAUCGAGUCAACAUAUCAUUGAUAUCAAUGCGUGCGUGAACACCCCCAACCGCUAACCAGGGUAAUCAAGGCCCAAGGGAAAGGGGACCAAAAAUCGGGCAAAAGAGAAUUUAUUGAGUAUCUGCAAAGUCCAAACUGGCUACUGCAACUAGACAUUGGGGAGAAGCAUUGAAAUCUACAACUCUGAACGCAUUUUACACUACUACCUUUUGUCGGAGACAAACGAGUUUACGGGGAAAAAGGGUUUCUGAUUUGAUGCAUCACCAGCGAGAUUCCUCGCCGAUUAUUUCACGUGAUUAACUCCAGGCCGUAAAUAAAUAUUAAUGAAUUUUGAGCUAUAUUUCUUCACAAUGGACUUGAGCAAGAAUCAGUCGACCUCAAGAAAUUGCUACCGGGAAAGUCUUUGACGACGAAAAGUUAUUAUUUUCAAAGCGAAAGACAAAAAAUCUAUUUAUUAAAAUAUGAGCAAUGUUUUAAAUGAUUUUUUUAAUAUUUUAAUUAUAUAUAUAAUUUUCAACAAUGUAUGACUACAUUACAUUAAUAUAUGUGCUUCCAACCAAACAUGUUUUGUUGUAUAUCAGUGCAUUUAUAUCCUGCCAAGGACAGAAAGCCAAUGUGUAGGAAGAUGAGGAAAAUAUUAUACCAGGGCCCGGGGCAUCAGAAAUUGAAUUCAUAGUCAAUCUUCCUCAGUUGGCUUUUAUGGUUUUUUCUUUUACUACUUUUUUGUUUAUUACAAAAUUUCACCUUCACUUUUGCAGAUGGGGAUGUAGGAGGAAGUGGGACUAACCACUAUUAUAGGGGUGUGCAGAUGAUCCGAAAGAACCUGAGACAGCGGAUAUCCGAUCCGCCAAAUCACGUCCGUAUCAAGAAGUUAUGCAGAUCAAAUUUGGAUAUCAUUUUUUGUGACCCACGAAUAUCAAAGUAUCUUUUACAUUUUUAGAAUACAUUAAAUCCACUAAUUUAUAAUAACUUUAUCUUUUGUUUCUUAUUUUCAUAUCUUUGUCCUCUUUCAUAAUAGACUUUUUUUUGCAUAUGAUGUUAAGUUUUUAAACAUAUUGUCAUGUAAUUUGUGGAUAAAAAAGUGUAGAUUAAAUAUUUAAUAUUUUAUUUAUUUGGAUCAAAAUAAGAAAAAAAUAUGAUGAAAUACAUGAUUUUUUUAAAAUUCUAAUGCAUUUAAAUUUCUUUUUGUCUCUGGGAUUUGUAGUUUUUUUUUUAAAUGUUAAAAAUCGCAUACGGAUUGAUUGAGCAUCGAAUCUGAUUAAUUCGAUCCGCAGAAUGCAGAUAUCUGGAUGUCGAAUAUCCGCACUAGCGGAUCCGAAAAAUCACUGAUCUGUUUUUGCAGAUUGAGUCAACAUUUUGGUUCACACCCGUAACCACUAACCAGGGUAACGAAAUCAAGGUACUGGGAAUAGGGCUAAGGGAGAGGGGACCAAAAUUCAGGCAAAAGAGAAUUUAUUGAGAAUCUGCAAAGUCCGAACUGGCUACUGCAAUGAGAAGAAGUACUGAAAUCUACAAUUCUGAACCCAUUUUACCACACCAUCUUUUGUUGGAGACAAAUGAGUUUAGAGGGAAAAAGGGUUUCUGAUUUGAUGGAUCACGAAGGAGAUUCCUCGCCGAUUGUUUCACAUGAUACUCUCUACUCGAGGCCGUAAAUAGGAAUUUCACAUGAAUUUUGGCUGGUUGUAUUAAUUUGAUUAGUAGUACCUUGCACUCCACUUUACGUGCGUGAUAAUUAGUUACCAAAACAGCCAAGCUCUUGGCUUAGCAAGUAAUCUGGUUUUCAUAGGAUAGGAGUGAAACUUACUUGAGGAACUAUUUAGCUUUUUUUUUUUCUUUUUCAAUAGGGUAGGAGUGAAAGUUAAGAAGCGGGGAAGGAAGAAUAGAGAUUUGAAGUUUGAGCCUCUAAUUUUUAGGAUCUCAAUUUUAAUCACUAGAUCAGAACCUUCUUAGUACUUGAUAAACUAUUUAAUUAUGUGCGGAGAUUACUUUAUUGUUUAAGAAGCAUAAAUUUUUUGUUAUAGUGUACACAUUCACAAUUUAUAAUUAAUGUAGUUUUCAUUAAGUCAACAUACACAAAAAUUACUUGAGAAACUAUUUAGUUAUGUAACAAGAUUAAUUUAAUGUUUAAAAACCAUAAUUUUUGUUGUAGUGUACAUGUUCACAAUUUAGAGCAGAGGAAUCGUAAGUAGGAGGUUCUAUGUUCAAGACCUCCCACUUUUCCAAAAAAAAAAAAGAAGUAUACAGCGGACGAUUUAUAUUUGGCUCCACUUGCAUUUACACAUACUUACUCUUUGAUUUUACACUCUUUCGAAUCUCACUUAUUCUUAAAUACUAGUUAAGUUGACCAUUUAAAAACCCAAAAUUUGGUGGGACGCAAAAUUAUACCAAAUUCUUAGACGCACAAGUGUUUUAUUUUAUUUUUUUCCUUUUGUUAGGAAACAUCCAAACAAGAGGCAAGGAAAUGCCCGGUAGAACCUAACAUUUAUAUAUCCUACCAUAUAUAUAUAUAUACUAACAGUCAGUUAUUAAUAUUCUUUGUAUUUAUAUAUUUUUUCUAUUUAAUCUUAUCUAUCAUUGUAUUUAUUUACUUUACUUAAUUAAUUUUACAUUUCAAAAAAUAUGACACCUGAAAAUAUAUCUUAACGGGCACCCUCAUACUCCAAAUUCAGGUGGCACUAAAUAAUACGCCUUUAUACAAGGAUUUAUUGCCCAGUAUUGCAUCUGUAGAGGAAUGAAUACAAAGCCAACAAAUCUGCUGGUGCUUAAUCACAGAUCAUGGAUUAAUGGGUGAGUCCUUUGUAUUAUCAAAAGGUGAUUAGUAAAAUUUAGUCACAUUGCCACAACUAAUUCUAACUAAAAAUUUGCACAAAUAAAAUCUUUGAAAACUUCAAAAUCUUUGUCAAAAGUUAACUACUCCCUUCUAUCCGAAAUAUCAGCUGCCCUGAUCGCCCAAGUGAUUUUAGCUUCCCCAAAAUGUUGCACCCAUGUAACUGGAAGUAGUAUCCAAUAAUGUGACCUACAUGCUACCAGUAUAUGCUACUAGUAAUAGAAACGAGGGUUUGAUUAUUAACUGCCGAGGAAUUCAGCUGAGGACUGUUUUUUUAACAACAGCUAGGAUUGUGAUGCUUCAGGCCUUCAAGGACAGGGCUCUCUUCCCAUAGCAAACUGUCUCUGUCUCUGUCUCUCUCUGGAUCAUGGAAUUUGAGUCUCCCGAUGCGAGAAAAAACAGUGCUACUGUGGUCCGUGGGGAAGCCUGCAAUUGGUAGGGCGCAGUUUCCUUUAAAUGCCAACACAACUACACACCAGCAUUUGCAUUUUAUUUUGUCUUUCCUUCUGGUCUCAUCAACUAAAAACUUGGAAGCUUUUCUCUUAGUAUUCUCUUUGAGUUCUACGUAAAUGUAGAAAGGGUCUCUCCCACGUAACAUCGCAAGUCAUUUUUGGGUACUAUCUUCUGAACUUUGUUGGAAAUAUCUUUCUUUUUCCCCUACAGGAAGAACUUCAAGAACCACAUCAAACAAAAAUAAAAAAAAAUCCAGCAGAGCAUUUGCCUACCAUUUCACAUCAUCCCAAAUGUUUGUCCUUUAUUCUUGACCAUGACGCGCUUCUAAUUGCAGAUAAAGAUAGAUUUCAAGCGCUUGCUCUGCUGUGAAAGCUGCACUAUCGAAAUUCGAAAGAGGUUACUUUGGCAUGGUUUUGGCUCAGAAACUAGGGUUUGGCUCUUCUUCGUUUUGAGAUAUCGAGAAAAGCAAGAUAUACGGUGUACAUUUAGCAUGAUGGCAUUGGGAGGAAGUCUCUCACGGGUGAACAGUUACAGCAAGAAGCAGUGCAGAAGCCUUUUCUGGAGAGUAAGAGCAGCAGCGAAGAAGGCCAUCAAGAGCGCUGGUGGUGGUGGAAAAGGUAAACAUCAAUUCAAAUUCCACUAUGAUCCUUCGAGCUAUGCCCUCAACUUUGACGACGGCUGUCAUGAAUCGGGAGAGAAAACAACAACGGUGUUUUACCAGCAGCCAUCCAACUCCAAACUGCAGAGCUCUUGCAAGACUAAUAAUACUACCUGGAUUUAUAUCAUCUGGGUGGAGUCUUAACUCUUACGCAGUUCUGUGUUUCUACAUUUUCUACUACCAUAUAUGAGUCGCAUUCAUGUUUAUUUCCAAGUUUUUGUUUUCCUUUUACAGUACUUUCUUUGUGAUUCUCUUCUGCUACCUGCUGCAAGAGUACGAAAAUAGUGUCCUUUUGGCUAUACUCUUGAUUAAGUUACGAACAUUUCCAAACUUCGAUUCUUUAAUACAUAUGGUCUAUCCAGUGGCCUUUUAGCAAAUAAUCACCCCUGGCCUACUCUCAAAAACAGCCUAAUACAUUAGUAUUGGCAACAAUAAACAUGCGACAGAGAGACCCAGAAAUUUAUUAAUUUUCCGUGCGGUAUAGACAGCAGAUACGCUUUUCGUUGUGAAUAAUAAGUGACUGUACGCGUUUAUUUAAUACCCACACUGACAAGAAGCAGACAUAUACAAAGACAGAGAGCCAUCACUGUUCCCAUCUGUUGUACUACUAGAUAACAAACUAAAUUCAUCAUUAAUGAUACUGUAAAGGAAAGUGGACACAAGGAGUAUCAUUUAUUAUACAUGAGAUUGGCAAAGAAUCCACAUUCGGAACAGAACGGAGCAAUACGUGACUGUUUCCAUUGGCUGUACACCAAGUUUGUGCUGCCGCAAGGCUUUCUGUGGAGAGACCUAUUACCCUAGUAAAGUAGUAUAAAUUAAUGAAAAUGACAUCCAUGAAUGACUGACCAACUACUUUCGUCCAAGAUACACC
rnacentral:lncRNA from 1 species